GAUGAAGAACGUAGCGAAAUGCGAUAAGUAAUGUGAAUUGCAGAAUUCAGUGAAUCAUCGAGUCUUUGAACGCACAUUGCGCCCCCUGGUAUUCCGGGGGGCAUGCCUGUCCGAGCGUCAUUGCUGCCCUCAAGCACGGCUUGUGUGUUGGGCUUCCGUCCCUGGCAACGGGGACGGGCCCAAAAGGCAGUGGCGGCACCAUGUCUGGUCCUCGAGCGUAUGGGGCUUUGUCACCCGCUCCCGUAGGUCCAGCUGGCAACUAGCCUCGCAACCAAUCUUUUUAACCAGGUUGACCUCGGAUCAGGUAGGGAUACCCGCUGAACUUAAGCAUAUCAAUAAGCGGAGGA
rnacentral:misc_RNA from 1 species